rnacentral:rRNA from 1 species
CCCUACGGGGUGCAGCAGGCCUACAGGGAAGGUUAUCUUCGCAAAUCUCUUUGUGAUCCCCUUACCAGAACCAAUACUAAGGACAAUACUCCCGCGGUCAUCCACACGGAUAUUGUGCCCGGCAACCAUUUAAAAAUCAUUGCCAUACCCAAAGGCGGCGGCAGUGAAAACAUGGGCGCCGCCCGAAUGCUCACGCCUUCAGCGGGCAUUGACGGCAUUAAACAAUUUGUCCUGGAAACCGUGGAAAAAGCAGGGGCCAAUCCGUGCCCGCCAAUUAUCGUAGGUGUCGGUAUAGGCGGAUCGCUUGAUCAGGCCUGCAUCCUGGCGAAAAAAGCACUUUUAAGGAAACUGGGAAAAAAGAACCAGAAGGACAAACGGCUGGCGACGUUGGAAAAAGAACUUUUUGAAAACAUCAAUAAAACAGGCAUAGGUCCCGCCGGAAUUGGCGGGAGAGC